ensembl:lncRNA
CUCAAACAGUAUAUUAAUUUAUAUACCAAAGUCACCAAAUAGGGCUUGUACAGCAGACUGCAUCAUGGGAUUUUUUGUUGGCGAUACUCAGCCAUAUAUCAACGUAAAUAUAUCGUAAUCUACUGUAACAUAGUUUUGCCGAGGUGGCAUGAGAAACGCUGUUGCAGUUUGAAGCACUACAAUUUCUCUCUCAUUUUCGCAAUGUAAGAAAAUCAUUUCACGAUUAACUAGUAAACAAUGAACAAAAAAAAUUACUACAAACAGAAUGACUAUCAUUCCAAUGCUCAGUGGUGUAGUCUAUUUUAUUUUAGUGGGUAUACUGUGAUGAUUCCCUCCCAGCCUCGUACAAACCCGUCCCACCGGUACGUGUACGUGUGUGGCGCUUAUGGGGUGUCGCACCACACUCACCAACGCAGGGGUCUACAACCCGCUGAUAGUAUAACGAUUAUCAACAAUCAUGGAAAGCUGAGUAGGUUUAUCAGUUUUAAUAACAGUAUGAACAAAUAGAACACAAAAAUUACAAGUUGUCCUCUGUAUAUCUAUGGUAGCAAUAGCACAUGCUAAACAAGGACAAAAUCUACUCAAAAUAAUUUAAUGAACUGUUUACAACCAUGGCUAACCAGUGCAUGAGAAGGAGAUGACAGGAGACUAAUGUUUCACUCUUUCAAUUGCUCUUAUUUGAGCUCUUACUGUUGUUAUCUAACAUACCAUACAGUAAUUGAAUUGUGUAAAAGUGUGAAAUUACUGCACCUUAAAAAUGACCAUGAAUUAGCUACUCUCAUUUGCAUAGUGAUUAACAUUAUGAAUUUCAAUUGUGUAUACCAACUGUAUGUUGGCUGAUAUUUACAUAACUUUUUUUCCCUCCACUCUAAGCAAGGAUGCCUGUUUUUAAAUUCCCUAGCCUGACACCCAGUCUGAAAGGCUGACCAGGGGUUCUCAUCUAAAAGUAACAAGGAGAUAUAAAGUGGGAUUAAAACAUUGUCUUCUGUUGACUACUUGUUAUGUGGUUUACACAUUAAUAUGGGAGGACUGGACACACACACACACACACACGCACACGCGCACACGCGCGCACACACACGCGAGAAUGAGGGGCUCGGCCCGCCAACCAACGUGCAGAGAUGCAGGGGCAGCUUCGCGCUUCGUAACAGAGACAGGGCAGAGCGCGAGCGCGCAGGGGGAAUUUUAUGAAUGGUGAAUGUAGGAGAUAAUUUCCCCUGCUUAAAGUAUUUUAUUGCAGUUAUACCCAACCAGUAUUUGCGAAAAAUAAACACAGAAGUGAAAGAUCUGUCACAAGACGAUUGAUACGUAUCCGUGCACAUUUUUAAGUGGAUAUACGCAAAUUUUGGUGCGUUCCUACUCUAUUUUAUUUUAGUGGGUAUACUGUGAUGAUUCCCUCCAAGCCUCGUACAAACCCGUCCCACCGGUACGUACGUGUGUGGCGCUUAUGGGGUGUCGCACCACACUCACCAACGCAGGGGUCUACAACCCGCUGAUUUAACGAUUAUCAACAAUCAUGGAAAGCUGAGUAGGUUUAUCAGUUUUAAUAGCAGUAUGAAAAAAUAGAACACAAAAAUUACAAGUUGUCCUCUGUAUAGCCUAUCUAUGGUAGCAAUAGCACAUGCUAAACAAGGACAAAAUCUACUCAAAAUAAUUGAAUGACCUGUUUACAACCAUGGCUAACCAGUGCAUGAGAAGGAGAUGACAGGAGACUAAUGUUUCACUCUUUCAAUUGCUCUAAUUUGAGCUCUUACUGUUGUUAUCUAACAUACCAUACAGUAAUUGAAUUGUGUAAAAGUGUGAAAUUACUGCACCUUAAAAAUGACCUAUUAAAACAUUGUCUUCUGUUGACUACUUGUUAUGUGGUUUACACAUUAAUAUGGGAGGACUGAGGGGUGUUCCACGAACGGAGGUUUAACAAACACUGAGUUAACGCUGAACUCUAGGUUGAUUGACCCUGUGCCGACCAACCCAGAGUUUUCGGUUCCACGGCAGCGGUUAUGCAUUAGUUCAAUCAACUCGGGGUUGGUUAACACAGGGUUGUGCGCGUCCACGCCAAACUUAAAAAGACGUGAUGUAUGGAUCAUGGAAACCCUGAUCGAUAUGGCGAAACGGGCCGCUUAUUUCAAUGAAAUGGAACUCCAGGUUCUCCUGGAGAGCUAUGACGAGGAGAAGGACAUUAUCGCAAGAAAGGGGAACGCUAAAACCUCUGGAACCCGGAGAACCAAAGCCUGGCAGCGGAUCGCUGACCGCGUAAAUGCGUUAGUUACACGUCAAAAGCAUGAUCCUUAAUAUUUGAGCCAUGAAUAUAUAAAUAUCCCAAUUAAGCAUUCUUAAAGAUCCUACCACAUAACCCCUUUCUUCUAAAACAAUAUGUAGCCUACUCCGAUUGCUUCCAAGCGGUCAGAGGAUCAAGUAUAAAAAACAUUCAAACUGGUAAGCUUUUCCCACCAUCGUAUUGGUAUAAAUUUAAAUAAGCCAUUUUUUUAAGCCAAUCGUGAAAAGGCCGGUACCUGGAGGUACCUACCACCUCAGAGGGUCAUCAUGGGCCAUACCCCACACUGGUUGAAUGUAGGUUUUUGUGUUUUCUUGUAGGCCUAUUUUAGAUUUUUUUUGCCUUCGAAGUAACACAUGCAAACCGUGUGCUUGCCACAGCGCAUACUAUUCCAAAUGUUUCUUUUUUUGGUAACUGGGUAGAAAACCUAAAAGUGACAAUUCAUCAACUUCACAGAUCAAGAUGGAUCAGUGCUUGUAAUGAAGCCGCCGGCUACGAUCGAACAUUCUCCAGUGGAUGCAAGUCCGUUAGGACUAUUUUAUACUUUAUGUUGUAAAUGCCUCUCGGCAUAGUACUCAGACAAUAUUGCUCUUUGUAUGAUAGGAGGCUGAUACAAAUCUUGGAUGGGUCAUCUGAAACGACUGUGAUGUGCUCAGCAUCUCCAGCAUUAUAGCCUAGAUAAAACUACCAUUUGAAAAAAACGGAGGGCUACGCAAAUAGUCUGGAGUGAACUGAGGCCAGGUCCUCGAUUGGUAGUGUUGGCUAUGUAAGGCUAUUUAAAUAUAUUAAAGAUUUGCGCGAGAAUCUAUAUCUCUCCACUCCAGCAAAAAGUCAUCCAAUAUGCCAAGAUGUCGAGCCGUGGUCUUAUCAAUCGCUCCCGGUGGAUUGCACGUAUAAUUUGCGCUCUGAUAUCAGCAGUUCUCUCAUCAAAAGGGCAUGCCAUUGUGAACACAUGAAAUCUGCGGUGAACGCCGGUUGAAAUACCCAAAACCGGGUUAUGUUUCAAACUUAACCUGCGCAAAACCUGAGGGGUGUUCCACGAACGGAGGUUAAACAAACACUGAGUUAACGCUGAACUCUAGGUUGAUUGACCCUGUGCCGACCAACCCAGAGUUUUCGGUUCCACAGCAGCGGUUAUGCAUUAGUUCAAUCAACUCGGGGUUGGUUAACACAGGGUUGUGCGCGUCCACGCCAAACUUAAAAAGACGUGAUGUAUGGAUCAUGGAAACCCUGAUCGAU